AGUGAACGCUGGCGGUAGGCCUAACACAUGCAAGUCGAACGGCAGCACAGUAAGAGCUUGCUCUUACGGGUGGCGAGUGGCGGACGGGUGAGGAAUACAUCGGACUCUACUUUUUCGUGGGGGAUAACGUAGGGAAACUUACGCUAAUACCGCAUACUACCUACGGGUGAAAGCAUGGUAUCUUCGGACCUUGCGCGAUUGAAUGAGCCGAUGUCGGAUUAGCUAGUUGGCGGGGUAAAGGCCCACCAAGGCGACGAUCCGUAGCUGGUCUGAGAGGAUGAUCAGCCACACUGGAACUGAGACACGGUCCAGACUCCUACGGGAGGCAGAAGUGGGGAAUAUUGGACAAUGGGCGCAAGCCUGAUCCAGCCAUACCGCGUGGGUGAAGAAGGCCUUCGGGUUGUAAAGCCCUUUUGUUGGGAAAGAAAAGCAGCAGGUUAAUACCCCGCUGUUCUGACGGUACCAAAAGAAUAAGCACCGGCUAACUUCGUG
rnacentral:rRNA from 1 species